GGUGGUUGCUAGGUGGUUGCUAAGGUGUUGCUAUGGUAUCCGGGGUGGUUGCUAAGAUGUUGCUAGGUGGUUGCUAAGGUGUUGCUAUGGUAUCUGGGGUGGUUGCUAAGAUGUUGCUACGUGGUUGCUAGGGUGUUGCUAUGGUAUCCGGGGUGGUUGCUAAGGUGUCGCUAGGUGGUUGCUAGGGUGUUGCUAGGUGGUUGCUAAGGUGUUGCUAUGGUAUCUGGGGUGGUUGCUAAGGUGUUUCUAAGUGGUUGCUAGGUGGUUGCUAAGGUGUUGCUAUGGUAUCCAGGGUGGUUGCUAAGAUGUUGCUAGGUGGUUGCUAAGGUGUUUCUAUGGUAUCUGGGGUGGUUGCUAAGGUGUUUCUAGGUGGUUGCUAGGUGGUUGCUAAGGUGUUGCUAUGGUAUCUGGGGUGGUUGCUAAGGUGUUUCUAGGUGGUUGCUAAGGUGUUGCUAUGGUAUCCGGGGUGGUUGCUAAGGUGUUGCUAGGUGGUUGCUAGGUGGUUGCUAAGGUGUUGCUAGGUGGUUGCUAAGGUGUUGCUAUGGUAUCUGGGGUGGUUGCUAAGGUGUUGCUAGGUGGUUGCUAGGUGGUUGCUAAGUGGUUGCUAGGUGGUUGCUAAGGUAUUGCUAGGUGGUUGCUAAGGUGUUGCUAUGGUAACCGGGGUGGUUGCUAAGGUGUUGCUAGGUGGUUGCUAGGUGGUUG